rnacentral:rRNA from 1 species
UACGAAGGGGGCUAGCGUUGCUCGGAAUUACUGGGCGUAAAGGGCGCGUAGGCGGACAGUUUAGUCAGAGGUAAAAGCCCAGGGCUCAACCUUGGAACUGCCGUUGAUACUGGCUGUCUUGAGUUCGGGAGAGGUGAGUGGAAUGCCGAGUGUAGAGGGUGAAAAUUCGUAGAUAUUCGGCGGAACACCAGUGGCGAAGGCGACUCACUGGCCCGAUACUGACGCUGAGGCGCGAAAGCGUGGGGAGCAAACAGGG